UACGUAGGGUGCGAGCGUUAAUCGGAAUUACUGGGCGUAAAGCGUGCGCAGGCGGUUCGCUAAGACCGAUGUGAAAUCCCCGGGCUUAACCUGGGAACUGCGUUUGAAACUGGGAGGCUAGAGUGUGGAAGAGGGGGGUGGAAUUCCAGGUGUAGCAGUGAAAUGCGUAGAGAUCUGGAGGAACACCGAUGGCGAAGGCAGCCCCCUGGGCUGACACUGACGCUCAUGCACGAAAGCGUGGGGAGCAAACAGG
rnacentral:rRNA from 1 species